AGAGUUUGAUCAUGGCUCAGGAUAAACGCUGGCGGCGUGCUUAACACAUGCAAGUCGAGGGCAGGCAGCAAUGCCUGACCGGCGAACGGGUGCGUAACACGUGAGCGACCUUCCGUCUUCUGGGGGAUAGCCGGCCCAACGGCCGGGUAAUACCGCAUACGCUCUUUGGGCUUCAUGGUCUGGAGAGGAAACUUCCGGGGGAGGACGAGGGGCUCGCGGCCUAUCAGCUAGUUGGUGGGGUAACGGCUCACCAAGGCGACGACGGGUAGCUGGUCUGAGAGGAUGGCCAGCCACAUUGGGACUGAGAGACGGCCCAGACUCCUACGGGAGGCAGCAGUGGGGAAUCUUGCGCAAUGGCCGAAAGGCUGACGCAGCGACGCCGCGUGAGGGAUGACGGCCUUCGGGUUGUAAACCUCUUUCACCAUUGACGAAGCUGCAUCUUUUUGGGUGUGGUGACGGUAGGUGGGGAAGAAGCACCGGCCAACUACGUGCCAGCAGCCGCGGUAAUUC
rnacentral:rRNA from 1 species